rnacentral:tmRNA from 1 species
GGGGCUGAUCGGUUUCGACUUCGGUCGUACGGAUCAGAUGAAGCGGGCCGAGAAUCCAAGGUCAUCUCGUAAACGUUCCUUGGAAACCACAAGUGCCAAUUCAAAGCGCACUGACUUCGCCCUCGCCGCCUGAGGCGAGCCUGCGAAGGGUCAGCCUGGGAGCGCCUCCGUCCCAGUAACUGGCCUCAUUGAGGAGGCUUGCUGCGCCUACCUGGUCGCGGGGUAGGCGCGGGACUUUUUCGCGACUGAGCCUGUCGACGACGUGUCUGUACGAGUGUCGGGGCUGAGAAAACGUCAUUGCAGACUGCGCCCGGAGAAGACCUGAUGCUGCGCUGAAGGACGCGGGUUCGAUUCCCGCCAGCUCCACGA